rnacentral:lncRNA from 1 species
AAAAAUUAAUCUUAUUUUGCCAUAAAUAUGGAAUCCAUAUACAACCGGUGUAUAAAACCAAAGUGGUUAUAACAUCUCCGCACCUUGUGGUUUCCAUUCCUACGACAUCACCGUACCCAUGUCACCCGACCAAUACCUUCAAAUAACCGAGUCCGAAACUAUUUAAAAAAAUGGGGAGGGGCCUGUCUUCCCCACUUAAUUACCCAAAACCAAAUAAAGAGAAAAAAAAAGUCCCACUGAAUUACCCAAAACCAAAUAAAGAGAAAAAUAAGAUCCCACUGAAUUACCCAAAACCAAAUAAAGAGAA